AAGUACCAUGACCAAGGCAUAGGGCUAUGUGGUAAAUGGCCGAUAUGGUGGAAAGUAAGGGAGAAAUGUGGUCCCCCUUACUUUGCAGAUACUCGGCACUCUAAGUACCUAUGACAAAUGGUGGAUUAUGGUGGAUUUCGUUAGAAGUUCUCACCUUAGAAUGUCAACCGAAGCUGGCUUUUCAAUUAAUAUCCUGUUUAUUUUCUAAAAUAUCAAUAUGGAAUUUUAUGAUAUCGCCUUCAAGACAAACUGUGUUAUAUCUUCCCACUCAAAUGAUCUAUCUUAUAAAUUAAGCCCAUUGAGUGCCAUGCAACUUACUAAAAUGGUAAAUUCCUUUGGAAGCAUCGCUAGGUCUCCGAGAGGAUUAUGAUAUUGCUGUGUGCCUCGUUUUUUUAACGGAUGCCCUUUUCAACCGUGCUGUUUCGAGAUGCGAAAUUCACAACCACAAAUAUUAUUGAUGCAUGUGUUGCCUCGUUUUUCUAAGAAUGCCUUUUUCUUCAAACCGUCUAUACACUGUCUAUAUGCACUAGGAAAAUCGUAAAGUUAAUGAUAACCCAAGCAGUCACUUCUUUGUCAGUUGUCUAGGUGCGAUAGCUUGUAAAAGUUCCUGGAACAGUAUAAAGGUUUAAAAGGUAAUACUAAAAAGCCACGGCGAACAAAAAGGCGGGAGCAACCUAUUUCAAUCGUGCUAUUUCGACGUGCGAACAAAACAACAACAAAUAAUAUUGAUGUUUUACCUCGUUUUUAAGAAUGUCAUUUUGUUCAAACCUUCUAUGUGAAAAUUUUUGAAAUGACAAGUGAAAAUGAUAUUGUUGUGUUGCCUCGUUUUUUUAAGAAUGUCUUUUUGAACCAUGCUGUUUCCCGAUUCAAACGACAUAACAUAUAACAUAUUUAUGCGCUGCUUAGUUUUUAUUUUUUUUUUUCAAACCGUCCUUAUGUACUAAUGGGAAUCGUAGUUUGGUAGAAAAAAAGAAAAAGAAUGCCCUUCUAAUAAGGCAAUAAUGGUAACACGAUAGUUUGGAUCAUAAAUAUUUCCCGGUAUAGGUGUGACUGCUCGUAAACGUGCCUAGAACAAUAACUAGGAAAUACUAAUACGUCGCGGGCAACAAAACGACGGAAAAUACCUAAAUGCCGGAAACCACAGUCCUAAGUAUUCAAAUACUUUUUAAAAACAUUUUUGUUCGCAAGUAUUCUAGUAUUUUUCACAUUCAUGGUGUAUAAGCUUAUCAGCGAGAAAUCCGUCAAUUCUAUUAGACUUAUUCGGAUUAAAAAGUGUCAAACAAGUUCGUUAAUGUUGCUAACUAUAUUCCAGGAGACAACUGGCCACCUCAGCUCCUACGGUUACUCAGUUACUCAGAUUCUUCCUUCGGCCGGCAAAACACGCCGAGCAUUUCCCUGUCCCUGUAUAGGUGCUCGUGCGUGGAACAGUAAACUGGAAAAUACUGAUAGGUCAAGGGGAACAAAGAGGCGGAAAUAGCCGAAAUGACGGAGACCGAAAAUAAUGUUUUCGGCAAGGGCUUUUGUAUUUUUAUUUACAUUGAAACUUGCAUACACCAGCUAGAAAUACGUAAAUCCUUAUAGAGGCUUUUUUCGUGUGAAAAAGUAAUUUUGAUUUUAAAUUUUUAAAUGUUGCUUUAAUUUACCCCAGGGCCACCUACUUCUACAUAGCAGUUUCUUAGCCCAAACACAUUAUGUGUGGCAGAGGCCAGAAUGUAUACGUAGGAGAUGAAUCCUAGGUUUGAAGACUUCGGCCGCGAAUAAUUAAUCAGCGGUAAGAAACUUUGGGAGCGGCCGCAAAGACCGCCGGGUCCCCAAAUCGUCGUACGACCAGGCUGAGAAAAUCGACCAGAAGAAAGUUACGCCUGACAGUUUACUGAAACAAUUGGAUAAUUUCUAAAAUCAGAAGUUGACGACAUCGGAAGAGCACCAGACCUACAGAUUACUGUGUCUAGCACUCCAAGCAAGAAAUUGGACUAUGACUAAUAGUGCAAAUGCAAUAAAAGUUAUAGCUCCAUUGUUAUCAGGACAUGGCCAUGACUAAUGUAAGCCCAAAAACCUGUAGCAGUGGUCAGUGUGGUUAAACAUAAAAAGUCAGUCGUUAUUGUCUAUUAGAGACAUUGGAUAGAAUUAUUAGCUGAGAACAUUUACUCAAUACUGUACAACCUCAUGGUAAAUAUAAAGGAAAUAUCUUAUCCCUGUCAAAUGUUUAAUUUUCUUAUAAAUGUUACCUUGUGUCAUUAUUAUCAUUUCCAUUUGAGACUAUAAAAAGCAGUCUGCGCAGCAGUCUAGUAGGAAGAAGGCCUAUGAGACGGAACCAGUGGGCGAUGCCGUACUUGCCAAAAUGAAGCCUUUUGAUUGGUAAUAUUGAGCAUGCUGUAGUAAAUUAAAAUUAUAAUUAGCUACGAGCAUUAACUCAAUACUGUAAAAUGCUCAUGGUAAAUAAAAAGUUUAUAUAUAAAGAAUAACUAUCCCUUGAAAUGUCCAAUUUUCUUACAAAUAUGACAUUGUGGCAUUAUUAUUAUUUCAA